UGGGGAAUUUUGGACAAUGGGGGAAACCCUGAUCCAGCCAUCCCGCGUGUGCGAUGAAGGCCUUCGGGUUGUAAAGCACUUUUGGCAGGAAAGAAACGUCAUGGGUUAAUACCCCGUGAAACUGACGGUACCUGCAGAAUAAGCACCGGCUAACUACGUGCCAGCAGCCGCGGUAAUACGUAGGGUGCAAGCGUUAAUCGGAAUUACUGGGCGUAAAGCGUGCGCAGGCGGUUCGGAAAGAAAGAUGUGAAAUCCCAGAGCUCAACUUUGGAACUGCAUUUUUAACUACCGGGCUAGAGUGUGUCAGAGGGAGGUGGAAUUCCGCGUGUAGCAAUGAAAUGCGUAGAUAUGCGGAGGAACACCGAUGGCGAAGGCAGCCUCCUGGGAUAACACUGACGCUCAUGCAAGAAAGCGUGGGGAGCAAACAGG
rnacentral:rRNA from 1 species